UGGGGAAUUUUGGACAAUGGGCGAAAGCCUGAUCCAGCAAUGCCGCGUGUGUGAAGAAGGCCUUCGGGUUGUAAAGCACUUUUGUCCGGAAAGAAAUCCUCUGGGUUAAUACCUCGGGGGGAUGACGGUACCGGAAGAAUAAGCACCGGCUAACUACGUGCCAGCAGCCGCGGUAAUACGUAGGGUGCAAGCGUUAAUCGGAAUUACUGGGCGUAAAGCGUGCGCAGGCGGUUUUGUAAGACGGAUGUGAAAUCCCCGGGCUUAACCUGGGAACUGCAUUCGUGACUGCAAGGCUAGAGUAUGGCAGAGGGGGGUUAGAAUUCCACGUGUAGCAGUGAAAUGCGUAGAGAUGUGGAGGAAUACCGAUGGCGAAGGCAGCCCCCUGGGCCAAUACUGACGCUCAUGCACGAAAGCGUGGGGAGCAAACAGGAUUCAGAUACCCUGGUAGUCCACGCCCUAAACGAUGUCAACUAGUUGUUGGGGAUUCAUUUCCUUAGUAACGUAGCUAACGCGUGAAGUUGACCGCCUGGGGAGUACGGUCG
rnacentral:rRNA from 1 species